rnacentral:rRNA from 1 species
GACGAACGCUGGCGGUGUGCUUAACACAUGCAAGUCGAACGGAAAGGCCCUGCUUUUGUGGGGUGAUCGAGUGGCGAACGGGUGAGUAACACGUGAGUAACCUGCCCUUGACUUUGGGAUAACUUCAGGAAACUGGGGUUAAUACAGGACAGGAGCCCCUGCUGCAUGGUGGGGGUUGGAAAGUUUCGGCGGUUGGGGAUGGACUCGCGGCUUAUCAGCUUGUUGGUGGGGUAGUGGCUUACCAAGGAUUUGACGGGUAGCCGGCCUGAGGGGGUGACCGGCGACAUUGGGACUGAGGUACGGCCCAGACUCCUACGGUAGACAGCAGUGGGGAAUAUUGCACAAUGGGCGGAAGCCUGAUACAGCAACGCCGCGUUCGGGAUGACGGCCUUCUGGUUGUAAACCGCUUUCGCCUGUUACGAAGCGUGAGUGACGGUAAUGGGUAAAGAAGCACCGACUAACUACGUG